rnacentral:rRNA from 1 species
UACGUAGGGGGCAAGCGUUGUCCGGAUUUAUUGGGCGUAAAGAGCGUGUAGGCGGCCAGGUAGGUCAGCUGUGAAAACUCGAGGCUCAACCUCGAGACGUCGGUUGAAACCACCUGGCUAGAGUCCGGAAGAGGAGAGUGGAAUUCCUGGUGUAGCGGUGAAAUGCGCAGAUAUCAGGAAGAACACCAGUGGCGAAGGCGACUCUCUGGUCUGUAACUGACGCUGAGGCGCGAAAGCGUGGGGAGCAAACAGG